rnacentral:rRNA from 1 species
AAUGAAAGCAUAAACGUGCAUUUUCUAGGUCCAAGGGUUUUGGUAAGCCGCUGAACCACUUUCAUGCUGGGAAUUGUGAACUGAAACUGUUCACGUGAGC